rfam:Stegodyphus mimosarum contig71144, whole genome shotgun sequence.
GCCUUCGUGGUAUAGUGGUUAGCACGCUGGGUGCGUAUUCCAGAGGUCCGUGGUUCGAGUCCCGGCGAAGGCG